GAGUUUGAUCCUGGCUCAGGAUGAACGCUAGCGGCAGGCUUAACACAUGCAAGUCGAGGGGUAUUGGUUUUCGGACCAAGAGACCGGCGCACGGGUGCGUAACGCGUAUGCAAUCUACCUUUCACAGAGGGAUAGCCCAGAGAAAUUUGGAUUAAUACCUCAUAGUAUUAUAGAAUGGCAUCAUUUUAUAAUUAAGGUCACAACGGUGAAAGAUGAGCAUGCGUCCCAUUAGCUUGUUGGUAAGGUAACGGCUUACCAAGGCAACGAUGGGUAGGGGUCCUGAGAGGGAGAUCCCCCACACUGGUACUGAGACACGGACCAGACUCCUACGGGAGGCAGCAGUGAGGAAUAUUGGUCAAUGGACGCAAGUCUGAACCAGCCAUGCCGCGUGCAGGAUGACGGUCCUAUGGAUUGUAAACUGCUCUUGUACGAGAAGAAACAACAUUACGUGUAAUGUCUUGACGGUAUCGUAAGAAUAAGGAUCGGCUAACUCCGUGCCAGCAGCCGCGGUAAUACGGAGGAUCCAAGCGUUGUCCGGAAUCAUUGGGUUUAAAGGGUCCGUAGGCGGUUUAGUAAGUCAGUGGUGAAAGCCCAUCGCUCAACGGUGGAACGGCCAUUGAUACUGCUAGACUUGAAUUAUUAGGAAGUAACUAGAAUAUGUAGUGUAGCGGUGAAAUGCUUAGAGAUUACAUGGAAUACCAAUUGCGAAGGCAGGUUACUACUAAUUGAUUGACGCUGAUGGACGAAAGCGUGGGUAGCGAACAGGAUUAGAUACCCUGGUAGUCCACGCCGUAAACGAUGGAUACUAGCUGUUGGGGGCAACUUCAGUGGCUAAGCGAAAGUGAUAAGUAUCCCACCUGGGGAGUACGUUCGCAAGAAUGAAACUCAAAGGAAUUGACGGGGGCCCGCACAAGCGGUGGAGCAUGUGGUUUAAUUCGAUGAUACGCGAGGAACCUUACCAAGGCUUAAAUGUAGAUUGACCGGUUUGGAAACAGACUUUUCGCAAGACAAUUUACAAGGUGCUGCAUGGUUGUCGUCAGCUCGUGCCGUGAGGUGUCAGGUUAAGUCCUAUAACGAGCGCAACCCCUGUUGUUAGUUGCCAGCGAGUCAUGUCGGGAAUUUAAAAAGGCGGCAGUGCAAACUGUGAGGAAGGUGGGGAAGGGCGAAAAUCAUCCCGGCCCUGCAGGCUUGGGCGACACACGUGCUACAAUAGCCGGUACGAAGUGCGGCCACUGGGCGACCAGGAGCGAAUCUAUAAAGCCGGUCACAGUUCGGAUCGGAGUCUGCAACUCGACUCCUUGAAGCUGGAAUCGCUAGUAGUGGGAUAUCAGCCAUGAUCCGGUGAAUACGUUACCGGGCCUUGUACACACCGCCCAUCAAGCCAUGGAAGCGGGGGGUGCCUGAAGUCGGUGACUGCAAGGAGCUGCCUAGGGUAAAACUGGUAAUUAGGGCUAACUCGUAACAAGGUA
rnacentral:rRNA from 1 species